ensembl:rRNA 5S_rRNA 5S ribosomal RNA
GGAAGAAGCCAUAUCACCCUGCAACUCACAACUGGCAACCCACUGAAGCUAAGCAGGUGUGAGACUGGUCAGUACCUGGAUGGGAGACCUCCUGGGAAAAACUAAGGUUGCUGCUGGAA